rnacentral:rRNA from 1 species
GACGAACGCUGGCGGCGUGCUUAACACAUGCAAGUCGUACGGUAAGGCCCUUUCGGGGGUACACGAGUGGCGCACGGGUGAGUAACACGUGAGUAACCUGCCCACAACUUUGGGAUAACGCUAGGAAACUGGUGCUAAUACUGGAUAUGUGCUCCUGCUGCAUGGUGGGGGUUGGAAAGCUCCGGCGGUUGUGGAUGGACUCGCGGCCUAUCAGCUUGUUGGUGGGGUAGUGGCCUACCAAGGCGGCGACGGGUAGCCGGCCUGAGAGGGUGACCGGCCACAUUGGGACUGAGAUACGGCCCAGACUCCUACGGGAGGCAGCAGUGGGGAAUAUUGCACAAUGGGCGCAAGCCUGAUGCAGAAACGCCGCGUGCGGGAUGACGGCCUUCGGGUUGUAAACCGCUUUCAGCAGGGACGAAGCUUUUUGUGACGGUACCUGCAGAAGAAGCACCGGCUAACUACGUG